UUAAGCGACUAAGCGUACACGGUGGAUGCCCUGGCAGUCAGAGGCGAUGAAGGACGUGCUAAUCUGCGAUAAGCGUCGGUGAGGUGAUAUGAACCGUUAUAACCGGCGAUUUCCGAAUGGGGAAACCCAGUGUGUUUCGACACACUAUCAUUAACUGAAUCCAUAGGUUAAUGAGGCGAACCGGGGGAACUGAAACAUCUAAGUACCCCGAGGAAAAGAAAUCAACCGAGAUUCCCCCAGUAGCGGCGAGCGAACGGGGAGGAGCCCAGAGCCUGAAUCAGUGUGUGUGUUAGUGGAAGCGUCUGGAAAGGCGCGCGAUACAGGGUGACAGCCCCGUACACAAAAAUGCACAUAUUGUGAGCUCGAUGAGUAGGGCGGGACACGUGGUAUCCUGUCUGAAUAUGGGGGGACCAUCCUCCAAGGCUAAAUACUCCUGACUGACCGAUAGUGAACCAGUACCGUGAGGGAAAGGCGAAAAGAACCCCGGCGAGGGGAGUGAAAAAGAACCUGAAACCGUGUACGUACAAGCAGUGGGAGCCUCUUAAUGGGGUGACUGCGUACCUUUUGUAUAAUGGGUCAGCGACUUAUAUUCUGUAGCAAGGUUAACCGAAUAGGGGAGCCGAAGGGAAACCGAGUCUUAACUGGGCGUUAAGUUGCAGGGUAUAGACCCGAAACCCGGUGAUCUAGCCAUGGGCAGGUUGAAGGUUGGGUAACACUAACUGGAGGACCGAACCGACUAAUGUUGAAAAAUUAGCGGAUGACUUGUGGCUGGGGGUGAAAGGCCAAUCAAACCGGGAGAUAGCUGGUUCUCCCCGAAAGCUAUUUAGGUAGCGCCUCGUGAAUUCAUCUCCGGGGGUAGAGCACUGUUUCGGCAAGGGGGUCAUCCCGACUUACCAACCCGAUGCAAACUGCGAAUACCGGAGAAUGUUAUCACGGGAGACACACGGCGGGUGCUAACGUCCGUCGUGAAGAGGGAAACAACCCAGACCGCCAGCUAAGGUCCCAAAGUCAUGGUUAAGUGGGAAACGAUGUGGGAAGGCCCAGACAGCCAGGAUGUUGGCUUAGAAGCAGCCAUCAUUUAAAGAAAGCGUAAUAGCUCACUGGUCGAGUCGGCCUGCGCGGAAGAUGUAACGGGGCUAAACCAUGCACCGAAGCUGCGGCAGCGACACUAUGUGUUGUUGGGUAGGGGAGCGUUCUGUAAGCCUGUGAAGGUGGCCUGUGAGGGUUGCUGGAGGUAUCAGAAGUGCGAAUGCUGACAUAAGUAACGAUAAAGCGGGUGAAAAGCCCGCUCGCCGGAAGACCAAGGGUUCCUGUCCAACGUUAAUCGGGGCAGGGUGAGUCGACCCCUAAGGCGAGGCCGAAAGGCGUAGUCGAUGGGAAACAGGUUAAUAUUCCUGUACUUGGUGUUACUGCGAAGGGGGGACGGAGAAGGCUAUGUUGGCCGGGCGACGGUUGUCCCGGUUUAAGCGUGUAGGCUGGUUUUCCAGGCAAAUCCGGAAAAUCAAGGCUGAGGCGUGAUGACGAGGCACUACGGUGCUGAAGCGACAAAUGCCCUGCUUCCAGGAAAAGCCUCUAAGCAUCAGGUAACAUCAAAUCGUACCCCAAACCGACACAGGUGGUCAGGUAGAGAAUACCAAGGCGCUUGAGAGAACUCGGGUGAAGGAACUAGGCAAAAUGGUGCCGUAACUUCGGGAGAAGGCACGCUGAUAUGUAGGUGAAGCGACUUGCUCGUGGAGCUGAAAUCAGUCGAAGAUACCAGCUGGCUGCAACUGUUUAUUAAAAACACAGCACUGUGCAAACACGAAAGUGGACGUAUACGGUGUGACGCCUGCCCGGUGCCGGAAGGUUAAUUGAUGGGGUUAGCGGUAACGCGAAGCUCUUGAUCGAAGCCCCGGUAAACGGCGGCCGUAACUAUAACGGUCCUAAGGUAGCGAAAUUCCUUGUCGGGUAAGUUCCGACCUGCACGAAUGGCGUAAUGAUGGCCAGGCUGUCUCCACCCGAGACUCAGUGAAAUUGAACUCGCUGUGAAGAUGCAGUGUACCCGCGGCAAGACGGAAAGACCCCGUGAACCUUUACUAUAGCUUGACACUGAACAUUGAGCCUUGAUGUGUAGGAUAGGUGGGAGGCUUUGAAGUGUGGACGCCAGUCUGCAUGGAGCCGACCUUGAAAUACCACCCUUUAAUGUUUGAUGUUCUAACGUGGGCCCCUUACCGGGGUUGCGGACAGUGUCUGGUGGGUAGUUUGACUGGGGCGGUCUCCUCCUAAAGAGUAACGGAGGAGCACGAAGGUUGGCUAAUCCUGGUCGGACAUCAGGAGGUUAGUGCAAUGGCAUAAGCCAGCUUGACUGCGAGCGUGACGGCGCGAGCAGGUGCGAAAGCAGGUCAUAGUGAUCCGGUGGUUCUGAAUGGAAGGGCCAUCGCUCAACGGAUAAAAGGUACUCCGGGGAUAACAGGCU
rnacentral:rRNA from 1 species